CCUAGGCAAGAGAUGCACCUGUCAGAGGAGCCCUGCAGGGAGAGUGAAAAAGGAUAAAACCUGAUGGAGAGGCAUUGUGCUACAGACCAAGGACUCUCCACUCUGGCUGAGCAUCAGAACCGCCUGCAGAGCUUAGUCAAAUAUUGAGCCUUCAGCCCACCCACAAUGAUGAGAUUCAGUGGAAGCCAUUGAAGGAACCUAAGAAGAAAAGGAAAACUAAAAAUUGACGUAAAUCAGAAGUUCACAACUCGGAUUAUGAAAGGAGUUAAUAACAUAAGUAAAGAUCAAUAAAUUCUUUUAUUAUA
rnacentral:lncRNA from 1 species